CGGCAUGCGAGAGCGCAUCCUCCAGGCCGAGGCGGAGCUCCGCGGGCUGCAGCGCGCGUGCCGGGACCUGAUCGUGCGCACGGCCGUGUGCGCCUCCAGGACGGGGCCCGCGGCCGCGGCAGCCGCGACAGAGACCUGCAAGGAGGCGCCGGGUGGCCCCCGCGCCAGGACGAGCGGGUCCCGGCGCUGCCGCCGCCGAGCUUCCCCGGCCGACCCGGACGACCCCGGCGAGCCCCCGCACUGGCUGUGGAGGGCCGUGCGCGCCGCGCUGCCCUUCCAGCUCGCCCUGGUCGCGCUGCUGUGCGUGGCGUGCCUGCUGCAGCCGCACUGCUGCGACCACCUCAACAACCUCAGCCUGUCCCUCAGCCCUCAGCUGCGCUACGCGAGGGGCCCGCCCCCCGUGUAGGCAAAGGUUUAACAGCUUCUUCUUUUGCAGCGCGGUUCCAACUACUUAAU